AUUGGGAUGAAUUUUAUAGACAAAGACAAGCAUAUGUCUGAUGCCUUUGGUUUUGAAGACAUACUAUACGUCUGA